GAGUUUGAUUCUGGCUCAGGAUGAACGCUAGCGGCAGGCCUUACACAUGCAAGUCGAGGGGUAACAGGAAAAGCUUGCUUUUCGCUGACGACCGGCGCACGGGUGCGUAACGCGUAUACAAUCUGCCCUUAACUGGAGGAUAGCCCAGGGAAACUUGGAUUAAUACUCCAUAAUAUUUUCGAUUCGCCUGUUUUGAAAAUUAAAGUUCCGGCGGUUAAGGAUGAGUAUGCGUGACAUUAGCUAGUUGGUGAGGUAACGGCUCACCAAGGCAACGAUGUCUAGGGGUUCUGAGAGGAUGAUCCCCCACACUGGUACUGAGACACGGACCAGACUCCUACGGGAGGCAGCAGUGAGGAAUAUUGGUCAAUGGACGCAAGUCUGAACCAGCCAUGCCGCGUGCAGGAUGACGGCCCUACGGGUUGUAAACUGCUUUUAUAUAGGAAGAAACUUACCCACGUGUGGGUAACUGACGGUACUAUACAAUAAGGAUCGGCUAACUCCCGUGCCAGCAGCCGCCGGUAAUACGGAGGAUCCCAGCGUUAUCCGGAUUUAUUUGGGGUUAAAGGGUCCCUUAGGCGGGAAUUUAAGUCAGGGGUGAAGCCCUACAGCUUU
rnacentral:rRNA from 1 species